rnacentral:rRNA from 1 species
AGCGAACACUGGCGGCGUGCCUAACACAUGCAAGUCGAACGGGGAUAUGCUGAGUAGCUUGCUACCUGGUAUAUCCUAGUGGCGAACGGGUGAGUAAUACGUAGGUAAUCUGCCCACAAGACUGGGACAACCACUGGAAACGGUGGCUAAUACCGGGUAAGACCACAUGCAGGUGAUGCAAGUGGUAAAAGCCCCGAUGAAAAUCGGGACGCUUGUGGAUGAGCUUACGCCUUAUCAGGUAGUUGGUAGAGUAAUGGCCUACCAAGCCUAAGACGAGUAGCCGGUCUGAGAGGAUGGACGGCCACACUGGAACUGAGAUACGGUCCAGACUCCUACGGGAGGCAGCAGUGAGGAAUUUUGCGCAAUGGGGGAAACCCUGACGCAGCGACGCCGCGUGGAGGAUGAAGUCCUUCGGGUUGUAAACUCCUUUUGUGGGGGAAGAUAAUGACGGUACCCCACGAAUAAGCCACGGCCAACUCUGUG